rnacentral:lncRNA from 10 species
GAGGAUUUGGCUCUGUCACACCAUUCACUGCCUGCCCUUCUUCCCAGCGCUUCCAAGAUCUGGUUGUAUUAAACACGAGAAUGAAGAGAGGAAAACACCUUCGCCCACGGUGUGCUCUGGGGACAUCUCCAGGUGUGGGUGGUGGCGUCAGCCACAGGACAGGCCCUUGAAUGGUCUCCUGCCACAUUGCAUCAGGGUCGGUCUGCAUGGCCCACAAGUACAGCAGAAGUGAUGGCAUAUGCCUUCGAGGCUAGCUUAAGAAAGACACGGUGAUUAGCCUGCAUUAGUUUCUGCCUUGGGCUGCUCACUAUGGAAGCCAGCUGCUGUGUUGUAAGGAUGUUCACGCAGCCCUCUCAGAGGUCCCAGAGGUGAGGAACUGACGCCUCCUGCCAACAGCCAUGUGAGGACCCAUCUUGGACGUGAAUCCUCCCGCCUCAUAUCAAGCCCUCACGUGACAGCAGCUCUGCUUAAUAUCUUGACCGCAACCUCAUGAGAGACCCUGAACCAGAACAACUCACCUUAGUCGCGUCCAAAUUCCUGACUCUAAGUUACCAUUAGAGAUGACACACGUUUUGCUGUUGAGGCUGCUGUUUCAGGGCAAUUUGUUACAUAGCAAUAGAUAACUCAUGCAAAGCA